UGGGGAAUUUUGGACAAUGGGGGAAACCCUGAUCCAGCCAUCCCGCGUGUGCGAUGAAGGCCUUCGGGUUGUAAAGCACUUUUGGCAGGAAAGAAACGUCAUGGGUUAAUACCCCGUGACACUGACGGUACCAGCAGAAUAAGCACCGGCUAACUACGUGCCAGCAGCCGCGGUAAUACGUAGGGUGCAAGCGUUAAUCGGAAUUACUGGGCGUAAAGCGUGCGCAGGCGGCUCGGAAAGAAAGAUGUGAAAUCCCAGAGCUCAACGUUGGAACUGCAUUUUUAACUACCGGGCUAGAGUGUGUCAGAGGGAGGUGGAAUUCCGCGUGUAGCAGUGAAAUGCGUAGAUAUGCGGAGGAACACCGAUGGCGAAGGCAGCCUCCUGGGAUAACACUGACGCUCAUGCACGAAAGCGUGGGGAGCAAACAGG
rnacentral:rRNA from 1 species